GGGUCCAUGGUCUAGAGGCAUGACAUCUCGUUUACACCGAGAAGGCCGCCAGUUCGAAUCUGGCUGGACCCA
rnacentral:tRNA from 1 species